GCUCGCGGCCAGCGAAACGGAGAAGGCGGAAAGCCAAGAGCGCGAAGCAUCAUUGGCCGGGCGUAGCGGUCACCAAGAGAAAAGAAAAGAGAGAGAGAGAGAAAGGGAGGAGCAAUUCCUAGCAACAACAUAAAAGAAAAGAAACCAUCCAUACAUCGUCUCUUGCCCGCUUCGAUACUUUUAAUUGCUAUGCUUUAAGCGAAAGAGAGGGAGAAGAAAAGGCAAAUCAAAACGAUUAAAAUAAUAAUAAUCAUCAUCU